rnacentral:rRNA from 1 species
GAUGAACGCUAGCUACAGGCUUAACACAUGCAAGUCGAGGGGCAGCACAGUGUAGCAAUACGAUGGGGUGGCCGACCGGCGCACGGGUGCGUAACGCGUAUCCAACCUUCCCGUUACUCUUGGAUAGCCUUCCGAAAGGGAGAUUAAUACAAGAUGGUAUUCAAAUUCCGCAUGUUAUUUGAAUUAAAGAUUUAUCGGUAACGGAUGGGGAUGCGUGACAUUAGAUAGUAGGCGGGGUAACGGCCCACCUAGUCUACGAUGUCUAGGGGGUUCUGAGAGGAAGGUCCCCCCACACUGGAACUGAGACACGGUCCAGACUCCUACAGGAGGCAGCAGUGAGGAAUAUUGGUCAAUGGUCGGAAGACUGAACCAGCCAAGUAGCGUGAAGGAUGAAGGUUCUAUGGAUUGUAAACUUCUUUUAUACGGGAAUAAAACCUCCCACGUGUGGGAGCUUGUAUGUACCGUAUGAAUAAGCAUCGGCUAACUCCGUG